UGCGGAAGGAUCAUUAAUGAAUUUUUAGGGCGCUCUUUUUAGAGGUCCGACCAAUUUCAUUUCCACACACCGUGAACACACUUCAUUUUUACACACAAUUUAUAAACACACAAGUCUAUAAGAAUGUAUAAAGUCUCUUAAUUGAGCAUAAAGUUAUAAUACAACUUUCGGCAACGGAUCUCUUGGCUCUCGCAUCGAUGAAGAACGCAGCGAAAUGCGAUACGUAAUGUGAAUUGCAGAAUUCAGUGAAUCAUCGAAUCUUUGAACGCACCUUGCACUCUUUGGUAUUCCGAAGAGUAUGUCUGUUUGAGUGUCAUGAAACUCUCAACCCCCUUGUUUUGUAAUGAAGCAGGCGUGGGCUUGGAUUAUGGCUGUCUGCUGGACUCUUUAACUAGAGACCGGCUCAGCUGAAAUACACGAGUAACCCAGUUUGAAUAUUAACGGUUUGACUCGGCGUAAUAGCUUUAUUUCGCUGAGGACGUUUCAUAUCAAGAUAGUGGUGCUUCUAAUGCGUCGUAGCGUCAGCUGCACACCUUUAAGCUUUAGACCUCAAAUCAGUCAGGACUACCCGCUGAACUUAAGCAUA
rnacentral:rRNA from 1 species